rnacentral:rRNA from 1 species
UACGGGGGGGAGCAAGCGUUGUUCGGAUUUACUGGGCGUAAAGGGCGCGUAGGCGGCGUGACAAGUCACUUGUGAAAUCUCCGGGCUUAACUCGGAACGGUCAAGUGAUACUGUCGUGCUAGAGUACAGAAGGGGCAACUGGAAUUCUCGGUGUAGCGGUGAAAUGCGUAGAUAUCGAGAGGAACACCUGAGGCGAAGGCGGGUUGCUAGGCUGAUACUGACGCUGAGGCGCGAAAGCUAGGGUAGCAAACGGG